rnacentral:piRNA from 1 species
GCUGAGUGCACAGUCCAAGAAUUAAUCCAU